rnacentral:rRNA from 1 species
ACUCCUGCGGGAGGCAGCAGUGGGGAAUAUUGGACAAUGGGCGCAAGCCUGAUCCAGCCAUGCCGCGUGAGUGAUGAAGGCCCUAGGGUUGUAAAGCUCUUUCACCGGUGAAGAUAAUGACGGUAACCGGAGAAGAAGCCCCGGCUAACUUCGUGCCAGCAGCCGCGGUAAUACGAAGGGGGCUAGCGUUGUUCGGAUUUACUGGGCGUAAAGCGCACGUAGGCGGACUAUUAAGUCAGGGGUGAAAUCCCGGGGCUCAACCCCGGAACUGCCUUUGAUACUGGUAGUCUUGAGUUCGAGAGAGGUGAGUGGAAUUCCGAGUGUAGAGGUGAAAUUCGUAGAUAUUCGGAGGAACACCAGUGGCGAAGGCGGCUCACUGGCUCGAUACUGACGCUGAGGUGCGAAAGCGUGGGGAGCAAACAGGAUUAGAAACCCCGGUAGUCCCAUGA